CCUACGGGAGGCAGCAGUGGGGAAUAUUGCGCAAUGGGGGAAACCCUGACGCAGCAACGCCGCGUGAGUGAGGAAGGACUUCGGUCUGUAAAGCUCUGUUAAUGUGGAAAAAUGGUAGUUGGUCUAAUAGGCCGAUUAUUUGAUGGUACACAUAGAGGAAGCACCGGCUAACUUCGUGCCAGCAGCCGCGGUAAUACGAAGGGUGCAAGCGUUGUUCGGAUUUAUUGGGCGUAAAGCGCGCGUAGGCGGACCUGCAAGUCAGAUGUGAAAUCUCGGGGCUCAACCUCGAAACUGCGUCUGAAACUACAGGUCUAGAAUCUUGGAGGGGGAAGGGGAAUUUCUCAUGUAGGGGUAAAAUCCGUAGAUAUGAGAAGGAACACCAGAGGCGAAGGCGCCUUCCUGGACAAGUAUUGACGCUGAGGCGCGAAAGCGUGGGGAUCAAACAGGAUUAGAUACCCUGGUAGUCCACGCUGUAAACGAUGAAUACUAGAUAUUGCAGGAUUUGACCCCAGCAGUGUCGUAGCUAACGCGUUAAGUAUUCCGCCUGGGAAGUACGGUCGCAAGACUAAAACUUAAAGGAAUUGACGG
rnacentral:rRNA from 1 species